rnacentral:rRNA from 1 species
GAUGAACGCUAGCUACAGGCUUAACACAUGCAAGUCGCGGGGCAGCAUGGGGGUUGCUUGCAAUCCCCGAUGGCGACCGGCGCACGGGUGAGUAACGCGUAUCCAACCUGCCCUUCACCACGGGAUAACCCGGCGAAAGUCGGACUAAUACCGUAUGUUGUCCAUUGACGGCAUCCGAUUUGGACGAAAGGCUUGGCGGUGAGGGAUGGGGAUGCGUCCGAUUAGCCAGACGGCGGGGUAACGGCCCACCGUGGCUACGGUCGGUAGGGGUUCUGAGAGGAAGGUCCCCCACACUGGAACUGAGACACGGUCCAGACUCCUACGGGAGGCAGCAGUGAGGAAUAUUGGUCAAUGGGCGUAAGCCUGAACCAGCCAAGUAGCGUGCAGGAGGACGGCCCUAUGGGUUGUAAACUGCCUUUAUGCGGGGAUAAAGUGGCCCACGUGUGGGCUUUUGCAGGUACCGCAUGAAUAAGGACCGGCUAAUUCCGUG